rnacentral:tRNA from 1 species
GAGAGUAUAGCUCAGUGGUAGAGCACAUGCUUAGCAUGCACAAGGUCCUGGGUUCAAUCCCCAGCACCAUUA